rnacentral:rRNA from 1 species
UGCGAGUCUUGUAGCAAUACAAGGCAGACGGCUCAGUAACGCGUAGUCAACCUACCCUAUGGACGGGAAUAACCUCGGGAAACUGAGUAUAAUGCCCGAUAGAACACUAUGCCUGGAAUGGUUUGUGUUCCAAAUGAUUUAUCGCCAUAGGAUGGGACUGCGGCCUAUCAGUUUGUUGGUGAGGUAAUGGCCCACCAAGACUAUUACAGGUACGGGCUCUGAGAGGAGUGGCCCGGAGAUGGGUACUGAGACACGGACCCAGGCCCUAUGGGGCGCAGCAGGCGAGAAAACUUUGCAAUGUGCGAAAGCACGACAAGGUUAAUCCGAGUGGUUUCUGCUAAAGGAACCUUUUGUCAGUCCUAGAAACACUAACGAAUAAGGGGUGGGCAAGUUCUGGUGUCAGCCGCCGCGGUAAAACCAGCACCUCAAGUGGUCAGGAUGAUUAUUGGGCCUAAAGCAUCCGUAGCCGGCUCUGUAAGUUUUCGGUUAAAUCUGUACGCUUAACGUACAGGCUGCCGGGAAUACUGCAGAGCUAGGGAGUGGGAGAGGUAGACGGUACUCGGUAGGAAGGGGUAAAAUCCUUUGAUCUAUUGAUGACCACCUGUGGCGAAGGCGGUCUACCANAACACGUCCGACGGUGAGGGAUGAAAGCUGGGGGAGCAAA